UACGGAGGGUGCAAGCGUUGUUCGGAUUUAUUGGGUUUAAAGGGUGCGUAGGCGGCCCGUUAAGUCAGUGGUGAAAGCCUCCAGCUCAACUGGAGAACUGCCAUUGAUACUGACGGGCUUGAGUACAGACGAGGUUGGCGGAAUUGAUUGUGUAGCGGUGAAAUGCAUAGAUACAAUCAAGAACACCGAUUGCGUAGGCAGCUAACUAGGCUGUAACUGACGCUGAGGCACGAAAGCGUGGGGAGCGAACAGG
rnacentral:rRNA from 1 species